CAAUCAAACCGGGAGAUAGCUGGUUCUCCCCGAAAGCUAUUUAGGUAGCGCCUCGUGAAUUCAUCUCCGGGGGUAGAGCACUGUUUCGGCUAGGGGGCCAUCCCGGCUUACCAACCCGAUGCAAACUGCGAAUACCGGAGAAUGUUAUCACGGGAGACACACGGCGGGUGCUAACGUCCGUCGUGAAGAGGGAAACAACCCAGACCGCCAGCUAAGGUCCCAAAGUCAUGGUUAAGUGGGAAACGAUGUGGGAAGGCCCAGACAGCCAGGAUGUUGGCUUAGAAGCAGCCAUCAUUUAAAGAAAGCGUAAUAGCUCACUGGUCGAGUCGGCCUGCGCGGAAGAUGUAACGGGGCUAAACCAUGCACCGAAGCUGCGGCAGCGAACGUAUCACCCAAGACAACUUUACGGAGUUGACGAUUGACGGAGCGAAGCGACGUCAAAGCGUUCAUUAAAGUCGAGUUGGCUUAGGGAUACGUUCGUUGGGUAGGGGAGCGUUCUGUAAGCCUGUGAAGGUGUGUCGUGAGGCAUGCUGGAGGUAUCAGAAGUGCGAAUGCUGACAUAAGUAACGAUAAAGCGGGUGAAAAGCCCGCUCGCCGGAAGACCAAGGGUUCCUGUCCAACGUUAAUCGGGGCAGGGUGAGUCGACCCCUAAGGCGAGGCCGAAAGGCGUAGUCGAUGGGAAACGGGUUAAUAUUCCCGUACUUGGUGUUACUGCGAAGGGGGGACGGAGAAGGCUAUGUUGGCCGGGCGACGGUUGUCCCGGUUUAAGCGUGUAGGUGUGUGUUCCAGGUAAAUCCGGUUCACUUUAACACUGAGGCGUGACGACGAGGCACUACGGUGCUGAAGCAACAAAUGCCCUGCUUCCAGGAAAAGCCUCUAAGCAUCAGGUAACAC
rnacentral:rRNA from 1 species